rnacentral:rRNA from 1 species
ACGCUCGACACCUACGGGGGGCAGCAGUCGGGAAUAUUGCGCAAUGGAGGAAACUCUGACGCAGUGACGCCGCGUAUGGGAAGAAGGUUUUCGGAUUGUAAACCAUUUUAGACAAGGAAGAAACAAGACAGUACUUGUAGAAUAAGCUCCGGCUAACUACGUGCCGGCAGCCGCGGUAAUCUGAGCGGGCUGGCAAGGC